rnacentral:rRNA from 2 species
UACGUAGGGGGCAAGCGUUGUCCGGAUUUAUUGGGCGUAAAGAGCGUGUAGGCGGCCAGACAGGUCUGCUGUGAAAACUCGAGGCUCAACCUCGAGACGCCGGUGGAAACCGUUUGGCUAGAGUCCGGAAGAGGAGAGUGGAAUUCCUGGUGUAGCGGUGAAAUGCGCAGAUAUCAGGAAGAACACCCGUGGCUAAGGCGGCUCUCUAGUACGGUACUGACGCUGAGACGCGAAAGCGUGGGGAGCGAACAGG